AAAUCUAUCCCAUCAGCUCAAUAGCAAAGUGGGGACCAACCCUGACAGGAUGCUAUUCCAUUGCAGGGUGCACUUGCAACCACACACACACCCAUAGUUGCUCAGACUGAGAUCAUUUAAACAUGCUAAGUAACCAAACAUACAAAUCUUUGGGAUGUGGGAGGAAAUUGAAGUUCCCAGAGAAAACCCACACAGACUUGGGGAGAAUGUGCAAACUCCACACAGAACAGUAACCCCAACUGGGAAUAAUUUUUUUUUCCUUCUCAGUGUUUUAAUGAAACAAUGUUGAACAAAAGAUGUUUAUGAGGAUCUGCUGUAAAAGGAAUCUUGUGUAGAGAUAUAAUAAACCUCUGAAAUUUUUAACUCUAGGGAUGUUUUUCAAAAUCAAUUUAUAGCAGUUUAUGAAAACAUGCAAAAAAAAAAAAAAAGCUUUAUGAAGAGUUGUACCCUAUAAAUUUUUAUUGAGGGGAAUAACUGCAGUUUUGACCAGGAGUUCCUUACUGAUUGAUGACCACAGUCUACUACUACAUGGAACCUUAAUCUCAGCCUUUUUUGAUGAUGCCCAAGUUAAUAUUUAUAUUAUUUUGUUCAUGGGAUAAUAUAUGCAAAAUGACUUUAUAAACUAAAGCUUUGGAGUUAUGCCUGAGUUCCAGUGAUGGUUCUUAGCUCUUGAUGGUUCUGUUCUUAGCUAUUGACUGCAGGUAAGUUGUUUAAUUUUUCUGUAUCUGAGAUAGGGAAUACUAAUUUGGUUGAAUUUUUUUAGAUGUGUUUAUUGCCUGUUUGCUUAUUUUUUUGUUGUGGAGUUAAGCCUUCGAAUUUUCAAGAAUUAAGAGUUCAUUUUUAUGUGCUAUACAUAUUUACUCCCCUUGAUUAUAUUUCUCUACCUACUUACCUUUUUAUUUUAGAUUCUGGUCACUUCUAUUCCAAAAGUUAGUUAUGAAGUACAAUCCAGGAUUAAGGUGGCAUCUAAAUUUGGUUAAUUUCUCUGCUACCUUUUAUGCUAUUAGUCUAAAUCAUUAAGAAAGCAUUUAAGAAACUUUUGUGAGCGUUUCUUUUUUUCUUCUUGUCAUAUUUGGGAAUAAUAUAAAUAGCUUAAAAUAGUUGAGCUGAUUUUUAUUUUUAUUCUGUUUUUAUUAUAAAGAAACAUUUGAUAGGAAAUAAGCUGGAUAUAAACAUAGUUGUAUCUCCUUUAGUGCUACCCAGUGGGCAGCACUUUGACACCUUUAGGGCUGAGCAGCUAGUAUAAUAGAGUGGGCUCCGUCUCAUUUUCUAAGCCUGUGAGUCCUAGCUGCCUAUUGCAGCUCGAUUUGAGUGGCAGUUGAUACAAUGUCUUUUUUUUUUCUCACUUCUGCAGUAAGUGUCUGGUUUGCUCAUAGUCUUUUGAUUAAUAGGUAGUUUGAAUAUUUUUCAAAGAAUCAGCCAACAUGUGAUUAUUUUAAAGAUUUAAAUACCAGAUAGAUAUUAAAAUGCAAGGUUAUUGCUACUAGAUAUUACAUCUAGUUAAAUCAACCAUUGUGAAAUAAUUGAGAAGUAGAGAUAAUAAAGACAUAAACCAAUAAAUCUUUGCUUGAAAAUCACAGGUAUGGGAACAGAUUGUGAGGACAGAAAAAUAAAAAGUAAAAAGAAAAAUCAUAGGUAAUAAGUGUCUAAAAGGUUUCUUUAUAGGAACAGUAGUUGUUGACCCCAAAUAGGACGAAUAGGACUCCCAUGUUCAAGAACACAUCACCAUUGUUAAAAAGAUCUGCCAUUAUUAAAUAGUGCAAUGAAGAACCAUUUAGGCUUUAUUAGAGUCCACAUUAUUGGCGAAAGAUGUUGGAUAUUCAUAGAAAAUCAAACUUGACAAAUUCCAAAAGUGUCUUUCAGCUCUGGAACAAAAGAUGUCAUGUAGUUCCUUGCUACCAAAAAGUUUGUUCAUAUGGUAAUAGAGGCCCAAACCUUUAGAGGGCAAAUACAGUGCUUUAGGAAGGACUUAGAUGAUAUAAAUGGUAUUCGUCCCUUUUCUCAUUUUUAUUUACUGAUUUUCAACUCACUUGGCUUUUAAUGAACAUGAGCGUUACUUAUCUGUUGGCAGCUGGGUGGAAAACAUUUGUUUUUCUAGACUUUAUGAAAUGGUAGCCACUGGUGUUGCACUUAAUGUUUAUUGCCAGUUAGUUCUCUGCAAUUAAUCCACAGCAGAGGAAUCACACUUCUAAAAUGGUUCAUUCUCUUCUUCAUAGACAUUUAAAGUUGAACAAAUACUUUCUUGUAUAUUGUUACUCUGUUUGGAUGGAGAGAGAAUGUAUAUGUAUCUUAAAAAUAUUUCUCUUUGCCACAUUAAACAUGCCUUUUUUUCUUGUGUGUGUUUUUUUUUUCAGGUCAGAUGUACCAACAGUACCAGCAACAGGCCGGCUAUGGUGCGCAGCAGCCGCAGGCUCCACCUCAGCAGCCUCAACAGUAUGGUAUUCAGUAUUCAGCAAGCUAUAGUCAGCAGACUGGACCCCAACAACCUCAGCAGUUCCAGGGAUAUGGCCAGCAACCAACUUCCCAGGCACCAGCUCCUGCCUUUUCUGGUCAGCCUCAACAACUGCCUGCUCAGCCGCCACAGCAGUACCAGGCGAGCAGUUAUCCUGCACAAACUUACACUGCCCAAACUUCUCAGCCUACUAAUUAUACUGUGGCUCCUGCCUCUCAACCUGGAAUGGCUCCAAGCCAACCUGGGGCCUAUCAACCAAGACCGGGUUUUACUUCACUUCCUGGAAGUACCAUGACCCCUCCUCCAAGUGGGCCUAAUCCUUAUGCGCGUAACCGUCCUCCCUUUGGUCAGGGCUAUACUCAACCUGGACCUGGUUAUCGAUAAGGAGGCUCCUCUACACCAAUUAAUGUAGCUGCUAGCUAUUGGCCUCCCGAAAGACUCCAGUACUAUUUUAAUUUGUAUUGAAGUUCAGAAAUUUAAAAAGCAGAGCAUUUUUUAUGAUAUCAUCAUUGUUGCUGUUAAUUGAAAGUAUAAUUUGCUGGAACACAAAGACCAAAAUGAAAGUUUUUUCCUCCCUGCUUAAAAAUGUAGCAGCUUCUUAGUUACUUUGGAACACUACUCUUACAUGUAUAAAGUGAUUGACUUUCUAGCUUCCCUUGUCCGGAGGAUAUUAAAAUGCUAGGGUGAGGUUUAGCCAUCUUACUUGCCUUUUUACUAUUAACAUGAUGUACUAAAGUAGAGCCCUUUGAGAAUACAAGAUAUUAUGUAUAAAAUGUAACACUGAUAGGUUAAUAAAGAUGAUUGAAUCC
rnacentral:sRNA from 1 species